rnacentral:tRNA from 1 species
GGUAGCGUGGCCGAGUGGUCUAAGGCGCUGGUUUUAGGCACCAGUCUCUCCGGAGGCGUGGGUUCGAUUUCCACCGCUGCCA